rnacentral:rRNA from 1 species
GGGGAGUACGAUCGCAAGAUUAAAACUCAAAAGGAAUUGACGGGGCACCGCACAAGCAGCGGAGCAUGCGGCUUAAUUCGACGCAACGCGAAGAACCUUACCAAGGCUUGACAUAUAGGGAAAAGUGGCAGAGAUGUCAUGUCCGCAAGGGCUCUAUACAGGUGGUGCAUGGUUGUCGUCAGCUCGUGUCGUGAGAUGUUGGGUUAAGUCCCGCAACGAGCGCAACCCUCGUUCUGUGUUGCCAGCAUUUAGUUGGGGACUCACAGGAGACUGCCGGGGUUAACUCGGAGGAAGGUGGGGAUGACGUCAAAUCAUCAUGCCCCUUAUGUCUUGGGCUGCACGCAUGCUACAAUGGCCGGUACAGAGGGCUGCAAUACCGUAAGGUGGAGCGAAUCCCAAAAAGCCGGCCUCAGUUCGGAUUGAGGUCUGCAACUCGACCUCAUGAAGUUGGAGUUGCUAGUAAUCGUAGAUCAGCAACGCUACGGUGAAUACGUUCCCGGGGCUUGUACACACCGCCCGUCACGUCACGAAAGUC